GUCGCAAGUUUAUUGACCUUAACUUGCAUUGUGGAAUGUUAUCAUCAAUUACUGUUUCUAAUUGCCCAUUGCUUCAAAGAAUCAAUAUAACUUCAAGUGCUCUCAAAAAAUUAGUUUUGCAGAAGCAGGAAAGCUUGACAACAAUUGCAUUACAGUGUCCGAAUUUGCUAGAAGUAGACCUUACUGAGUGUGAAUCGCUCACCAAUUCUGUUUGUGAAGUUUUCAGUGAUGGUGGUGGCUGUCCUGUGCUUAAAUCCUUAGUUCUGGAUAACUGUGAGAGCUUGACACUUGUGGCUUUCUGCAGCACUUCUUUGGUUUCUCUUUCACUUGGUGGUUGCCGUGCUUUAAUUUCUCUUGCGCUUAGGUGCCCAUAUCUUGAACAAGUAUCUUUAGAUGGUUGUGAUCAUCUUGAAGUAGCAUCAUUUUGCCCCGUUGGUCUUAGG
rnacentral:misc_RNA from 1 species